GAUGAACGCUGGCGGCGUGCCUAAUACAUGCAAGUCGAGCGAACAGACGAGGAGCUUACUCCUCUGACGUUAGCGGCGGACGGGUGAGUAACACGUGGAUAACCUACCUAUAAGACUGGGAUAACUUCGGGAAACCGGAGCUAAUACCGGAUAACAUGUUGAACCGCAUGGUUCAACAGUGAAAGACGGUCUUGCUGUCACUUAUAGAUGGAUCCGCGUCGCAUUAGCUAGUUGGUAAGGUAACGGCUUACCAAGGCAACGAUGCGUAGCCGACCUGAGAGGGUGAUCGGCCACACUGGAACUGAGACACGGUCCAGACUCCUACGGGAGGCAGCAGUAGGGAAUCUUCCGCAAUGGGCGAAAGCCUGACGGAGCAACGCCGCGUGAGUGAAGAAGGUCUUUGGAUCGUAAAACUCUGUUAUUAGGGAAGAACAAAUGUGUAAGUAACUAUGCACGUCUUGACGGUACCUAAUCAGAAAGCCACGGCUAACUACGUG
rnacentral:rRNA from 1 species